GCUCUCAGUUUUUCCGCAUUGAGGAUGAUAUUUGCUGUGGGUCUUUGGAAUACAGCUUUAUGAUGUUGAGUUCAGGAUGAAGUACCAGAUGAAAAUAAUUUACCUGAGCAUCAAGACUCAAUGUCAGAAUCAGAAAUUGAAGUGGAGAAACAAAGAAGCCACAAAGGAGAAAGACCUAGUACUCUUAAUGAAGUGCUAGAUGAAAAUCUUAACCUUAAACAUCAAGACUCAGAGUCAAAAACCCAAGUACAAUUUAAAAAA